UGCUCUCCAGAGCUGAGUUAAAAUCUAAGAGGCACUGAAUCGGAGAACGGGAUUACUAAGUACAUGAUGUUCCCCAAGUUUCUUUUGUUUAGCACUAAAAGACACAUAGAUACUGCCACUCCAUGAACUAUGAAAUUUAGUAUUUUCCUGAACUUACGCUUGACUUGAUUGAUUUUGCAGUUGCAGAUGUUUAUAUGCAUAUCAUGUUGAUUAAUACUGUGAGUGUGAUAUAUAUACGCAUAAGACUUCAUAACGAGACUGUUAUGUGUACAGAUAUCCUGCCAGAUUAGUACUGUUCGGAUAGUCUGGUUGUGCCUAAACGAACGACAUAAGUUACGUUGACCUUUAAAUUCACAUCACCCUUUCGGAACAAAUCAAAGUUACACAUGUAUUAUUAAUUUAAAAACAUUAAAUGAAAUAAAAAAAUAGCUACAAAAAGUAAAACCCCAAAUUUAAAUGCUAUAGGGUUUGGGUUAAGGUUUACGGUUUGAGUUUAGGGUCUAAGACUUGAGUUUAUGGUAUAGGGUUUACGGUUUGAGUUUAGGGUCUAAGACUUGAGUUUAUGGUAUAUUUUUUGGGUUUAAGGUAUAUAAUUUGGGUUUAGGAUAUAGAUUUAGGGUUUAGGGUAUAGGGUAUAGGGUUUGGAUUUAGAGAUUUGGAUUUGGAUUUAGAAUUUAGGGUAUAGGGUUUAGAAUUUAAGAUUUAGAGUUUAGGGUUUCGCUAGCAUUUUUAUUUUUUUAGCUAUUUUUUAUUUAAUUUAAUAUUUUUUAAUUAAUAAUCUAUAUGACAUUUUAAUUGGUGAUUAAGAGUGGAGUGAGUUUAAAGGUUCAUCAUACGGGAUGAACCUAAGUUUUAUUCUUUUUUUUUUCAAAGUUCAUCUUUUAGGUGGUAUUCUUUUCUAUCGAAUUUGAAGCUAAAUGCUAUUUUUUAACAAUUCAAAAUAACUUUUGAUGAAUCUUGAAAUCCAUAUUUUCCAAUAAGAGGUGAUUUAGUGGUAUCUCUACAAAUGUUAUCUAUAAUAAUAAAACAUAGUUUUCUCUCACCUUAUCACUCCACGUCAUUCUUCAGGGGUGGGCGUUUUGUGCCACGUUGCAUCUAAACCUUCGACUCCUAAAAUUUCCGUCUCUCGGUGAAUGGGCUUUUAUUUUAAUUUCGUCUUUAUAAGUAUCAGAUGUGUGGGCCCGUAUUUGACUAAGUUUUUAUGAUUCUCGACUGAGACGCCCUAAUCCUUUCGCUUCCCUUCAAUCCGAUGAAAAUUCUGGGUAACGGAUUCGUUUUUUAAGUCCACCAUUAAAAUGAGCAUUUAACACCAUCACACCCCUCCUCUCACUCCGCCUCAUUUAUUUAUUCUAAUUGGCGACGAAGGUAAGCGAUGCAUGUCUGAGUUUGGUACGAAUUCAGACUAUAAAUGUCUCCGUUAGAUGCCAUGAACAGCUCCACCGCUAAGAUUUCUCAAAGAUUAUACUCUGCCAAGCAUCACCGCCCACUAUGUCGACUUCCUACGUUCUUCUCGCAAAUCUGAAAGCAGGCCGUUGCUCAAACACCGCCGAGGUCCGUUCUUGACGUUCUACAGAAGAAGAAACUUCGUGAUGACUUGAAGAGCGUAAGAAGAGAAACUUUUCUUCCAAAGAAAAAUCUCACUGUGGUGAAUGAGACGAUAAAUUUCAAGCCUUUUUUCAAUAUGAUUUUGUAAAGAUUCUUCCUUCGUUUCACUAAUGUGUUUUUUUUUUGUCAUUAGAUGAAAGCUACUACAGGAGAGGGAAUCAGCUAUUACUCGAAGGUUAGAGAAAUUCACUUUUUUAUUUGAUUAUAUGUCACAGAAUACAUGUAGUUUGAUUAUAUGUUUUCUAAAUUCUAACAUUGAUAUCCUGCUUUUAAGCUCUAAAAGAGACUCUGAAGAUGAUUCUGAUGAGGAUGAUAGAUAUAAAGAAAGUGACGAUGAUGAGGGUGAGAUUGGAUCUCUUAUGGCUGAACUAAACCAGAUAAAUAAAUAAAGAGGCUCAGGAAGGAAAAGCAGCAACAAAUGAAGAGCUAAACGCCAAAGAAGAGGAACUUCCCAAAGGAAACCCACUGCUUGACAACACUCCAACUGUGUUUAGUGUCAAAAGAAGGCUAGCAUCUUUUGAAGUCUUGUUUCUUCAUGAGUCUCUGAAUUAUAUGAAUUUUUGGAGGCACAUAUUAAUCUUUUAAGUUUCCUCUUUUUUUCAGGUGGGAUGAUGAUGUGGUAUCGAGAAUCAGGCACGUGGGGAAAUGAAAUUAAGCACCUAAGCGCUUCAUCAGUAAUACAAUCAAGAAUUACUUCCACAAAAAGUUUCACUUUUGCAUUAACGAAUGACUCAAUGUGUUAAAAAUUAAUUGAAUCGAACUGUUCUCUGUUUUUGAGUGCAGGAGGUCCUUGAGAUAAAAGGCAAACGAGGAAAGUAGGCUUUUUUAAUUAAAAUGUCUACCACCAGAAGCAAUCAAUCUGAUUGGACCGUAAGAAUCUUCAACCACAGACGGUAAUGUUUUUUUUCAAAUACAUAUACUAACCAGCUAUAGCUUUACAUCAAUAAAUUCAGGACAGUGAUCGAAAUGUUGUCCCAGUUCAUACACAUGCAUUUGGUUUCUUUAAUCGGGCAUUGCAGUGAGAACAAUAAAAGGACCAUUGUGCAUGACUUGGAUCGCCCAAGGUUGAGCUGGAGACAGAAGCUUGAGAUAUGUCUUGGUGCAGCUAGAGGCCUGCACUAUAUCCAUACAGAUUCCGCAAGAGGUAUCAUCCACCGCAAUAUGAAGUCUGACAACAUUCUCUUCGAUGAGAAUUUCAUGGACAAAGUUUCAGAAUUUGGAUUGUUUAAGACGUCCAGAUCUUGACCAGACUCGUGUGAGUACGACGGUAUAGAAGAUUCAUUAUCUUGAUCCAGACCAGUACAAGAUAACAAUUGACUGAGAAGUCUGAUGUUUACUCUUUUGGGUAAUGCUUGAAGUACUUGAGGGGGACCAGAUCCAUCUAUUCCAAAAGAAGAGUCUUUAAGUUACUGUAGUAUUGUUAGUUCAUGAGGGAGGAAAGCCCGCAUUUCUUUUUUAUACCCAUUGCAUACAGAUUAUUGUUAUACUUUCUAGAUAUUUAUUUUCAAAUAGUCUCUUUUGUGUGUU